UGUGAUCUCCUCCGGCGAACUUCCGGCAAUCCUCCAGUGAACGUCCGAUGAUGAGUUUGUGGACUCAACCGCAUAGAUUUCUUUUCCUGAUUUUGUCAAUCUUCCAUGAUCGUUUUAGGGAGUGGUCUUGGACCUCAUUUUUGCACUUAGGCAAUACCAGAUCAAAAGUGAUAGAUCGGCGUGCAUCUUGAGAGAUUGUCUGUAGUUGUUGUCUUAUCCUAUUGUAAAUUUUAAGUUCUUGUUAUUGUGUAUCCCUGUAUUUUGUAUUUUGGACUUCUAUAUCCAAGUAUUGUGUACUUUGUAGAGUUUGUAAUCUUGUAACUCAGUUGGGUUAUUAUAAUUUUGCCU